AUUGAACGCUGGCGGAAUGCUUUACACAUGCAAGUCGAACGGUAGAGGGGGCAACCCCUUGAGAGUGGCGAACGGGUGAGUAAUAUAUCGGAACGUGCCCAGUCGUGGGGAGUAACGUAGCGAAAGUUACGCUAAUACCGCAUACGAUCUAAGGAUGAAAGCGGGGGAGUCGCAAGACCUCGCGCGAUUGGAGCGGCCGAUAUCAGAUUAGGUAGUUGGUGAGGUAAAGGCUCACCAAGCCAACGAUCUGUAGCUGGUCUGAGAGGACGACCAGCCACACUGGAACUGAGACACGGUCCAGACUCCUACGGGAGGCAGCAGUGGGGAAUUUUGGACAAUGGGCGCAAGCCUGAUCCAGCAAUGCCGCGUGCAGGAUGAA
rnacentral:rRNA from 1 species